UACAGAGGUCCCAAGCGUUGUUCGGAUUCACUGGGCGUAAAGGGUGCGUAGGUGGUUAGGUAAGUCCGAUGUGAAAUCUCCAGGCUCAACCUGGAAAUGGCAUUGGAUACUAUCUAGCUUGAGGAGUGGAGGGGGGACUGGAAUUCUCGGUGUAGCAGUGAAAUGCGUAGAUAUCGAGAGGAACACCGUGGCGAAGGCGAGUCCCUGGACACUUCCUGACACUGAGGCACGAAGCUAGGGGAGCAAACAGG
rnacentral:rRNA from 1 species